GAUGAACGCUGGCGGCGUGCCUAACACAUGCAAGUCGAGCGAUCUUCUUCGGAAGAGAGCGGCGGACGGGUGAGUAACGCGUGGGUAACCUGCCCUGUACACACGGAUAACAUACCGAAAGGUAUGCUAAUACGAGAUAAUAUGCUUUUAUCGCAUGGUAGAAGUAUCAAAGCUCCGGCGGUACAGGAUGGACCCGCGUCUGAUUAGCUAGUUGGUAAGGUAAUGGCUUACCAAGGCGACGAUCAGUAGCCGACCUGAGAGGGUGAUCGGCCACAUGGGAACUGGGACACGGUCCAAACUCCAACGGGAGGCAGCAGUGGGGAAUAUUGCACAAUGGGCGAAAGCCUGAUGCAGCACCGCCGCGUGAGCGAUGAAGGCCUUCGGGUCGUAAAGCUCUGUCCUCAAGGAAGAUAAUGACGGUACUUGAGGAGGAAGCCCCGGCUAACUACGUGCCAGCCGCCGCGGUAA
rnacentral:rRNA from 1 species